UUGUAUCUAUUUUUCAAUAAUUUUUCAUUGUUUAUCGUCGUAUUUUGGAUUCAUUUGGAUUUCGUUUCCUGUUUUUGCGAACUUUAUAAACUUUACCACAAUGCAAACUGAUUAUUUAAGGAAAUUAUUAUUGGAAACUCCAGAUGUUGCGAGAAAGAUAUUUAUUGAAGCUGAAAAUAAUUGGGGAUUUAGAUCCAUACGCAAUUCAGUCAGAAUUGGAUUUUACAGUAAAGUGCAGUCCAUCAAGUUACUAUUAUAGAUAUUUAUACAUAUACAUAUCUGGUGGAGUCUGAUAUGUCACAGUUGCUACUCUAAGCAGCAGAUGAAAGCAUACAAAAGCCUUCAGGCACAUAAAUAUUUUACAGCUGGAUUUGUUUUGAAUGGAGUAAAAAUUGUUAAUGAUUUCCUGAUUUCCAUAUUAUUGUCGGAAAGGUGAAUAUUUCCAAAAAUCUAAUGCUAAAUGACUAAAUGCUUGGGUGGGGUGAUAGCCAGUUCUGAUGACAUAGCAAAUUCACAUUGUAUGCGUAUGGCCGGUAAUAGUGAAGUCUGCAGCCAUAUUGCAGCAAUCCUAUUUUUAGCUUAGUAUGCUCAGGGCAAGACAGACGAAGAAGAACCCAAUGUAUGUACAUAUGUUACAGCUACAUGGUUUGGAGAUAGCAACAUAUCGAUACUUUUUUGGCAAAGUAACGUAAGUGACAUUUUUGGCGAAAAUCAUGUUUUUCCAUUAAACUAACACUAUUAUUAUUUAGAAGGUACUGCCAAAGUGUAGUAAGCCUAGAAUUACUUUAAACAUAAUAUAUGUAUGGGCUUACUACACUUUGGCAGUGCCUUCUGAACAAUAAUAGCGUUAGUUUAAUGAAAAAACAUGAUUUUCAAAAAUGUCACUUACGUUACUUUGCCAAAAAUGUAUCGAUAUGCAUUCUCUGAUGAAAAACUAAUGAAUUUUGAAACUGUUCGGUCAGAGUGCUUGUUGCACUCACUAAACGAAUUGAAAUAUAAGAUGGCUUUGGCAUUGUGUUUUAGUGAUAUGAAAAUGGUUAUUCAUUUUUAAUUAUAAUGUACUUCUUCAUCAUGAGUAAUUAUGUAUUGGUCUUUUAAAUGUGUAUUUAUUUUUGUAAUUAGUAUCAACUUGUAAUGAUAAUAUACAUUUAUCGUUUAAGGUAUGACUAUGUUUUGACUCUAAAAUAAAUGUUUUAAAAAUCAAA